UUAUUUACCUGGCGGGGGAGGUACCAUGAUCAGGAGGGUGCUUUUUUCCCAGGGUGAGGCUUCUUCAUUGCACUGUGAAUGUACUGAAUUCUGCAAUUGCUCGAAAUAUGGGAAAUUCGACUGCAUGAUUUGUGGUAGUUGGGGACUGCAUUUGUUCUUUCCCGUG